rnacentral:tRNA from 1 species
GGCGGAGUGGCAGAGUUGGGGAGCAUGCGAGGGUCUGCAACGCCCUAGACGUUGGUUCGAAUCCAACCUCCGCCU